UAUCACAAAUGUAAAUACAUGGUUAGAUUCAGCAUAUCAAAGAACCCCAAGAAUUCAAUUUUUUAUGAAAUCAAACCAAGUUUAAUUUUGGACCCUUUGGACCUCAAUGUGGACCCAAUUGAUAAUGAGACCCAAAAUCUAAAUACACAGUUAGAUUCAGCAUAUCAAAGAACCCCAUAAAUUCAAUUUUGAUGAAAUCAAAGUUUAAUUGUGGACCCUGAUUUUGACAAACUUGAAAACUGGGCAUAAAAUCAAUAAAAUGCUCCGCUGGGGCGCAGCUUGAUACGACCGCAGAGGUCGAACCCUGAACAGUUGGGGCAAGUAUGGACACAACAUUCAAGCUUGAUACAGCUUUGCAUUUGGAUUGUGAUUAAAUAUUUGACACAGCAUAGGUUUCUGACAAAGAAUGAAUGUGGUCUAAGAACUUAAAAAUUUUAAAUUGGACAUUCACCUAUUAUGGUCCAAUAUCCAAAAUCUAAAUACAUGGUUAGAUUCAGCAUAUCAAAGAACCCCAAGAAUUCAAUUUUUGAUGAAAUCAAACAAAGUUUAAUUUUGGACCCUUUUGACCUCAAUGUGGACAAAGUUGAUAACGGGGACCAAAAAUCAAAAAUCUAAAUACAUGGUUAGAUUCAGCAUAUCAAACAACCCCAUAUAUUCAAUUUUUGUUGAAAUCAAACAAAGUUUAAUUUUGGACCCCGAUUUGGACCAACUUGAAAACUGGGCCCAUAAUCAAAAAUCUAAAUACAUGUUUAGAUUCAGCAUAUCAAAGAACCCUAAGAAUUCAAUUUUUGUUAAAAUCAAACUAAGUUUAAUUUUGGACCCUUUGGACCUUAAUGUAGACCAAUUUGAAAACGGAACCAAAAAUUAAGAAUCUAAAUACACGGUUAGAUUCAGCAUAUUAAAGAACCCCAAGAAUUCAAGAAUAAAACCCCAUUGAAAUUGGUCAAGAAAUAAGCAAUUUAUACGAAGUAUCUUCUUUUGCACAAUACUGUGCAAUUAAAUAUUUCUUGCUAUUGCGCAAUACUGUACAAUUGACAAUUUCUUGCUAUUGCGCAAUAUUGUGCUAUUGAAUAUUUCUUGCUAUUGCGCAAUACGGUGCAAUUGAAGAUUUCUUGCUAUUGCGCAAUACUGUGCAAUUGAAGAUUUCUUGCUUUUGUGCAAUACUGUGCAAUUGAAAAUUUCUUGCUAUUGCACAAUACUUAUUAUAUAAUAAUUUACACAUCCUGUUUGGUGUGUAUCUCCUACCAUAUCAUUAUUAUUUGCUUUUAAAUAUAAAUCAGAAAUAACCAACUUAAAAUUGAAAAUUUUAAAAGAAAAAAAAAAGGAAAAAAAGAAAAAAAAGAAAAAAAAAAAUCCCCCCCCCCAAAUUUUUUGAACCCCCUUAUGAUUCAUCACCCCCAAACUCAAUCCCAGCCUUCCCUUUGUGGUAUGGUACCUUGCAGUACAAUUUCAGAGAGAUCCAUACACUUGAACACAAGUUAUUGUCUGGAAACUAGAAAAAUGUGUUUUUUGGCCCCUUUUUGGCCCCAAAUUCCUAAACAUUUAGGGCAAUUACCCCUAAACUCAAACCCAGCUUUCCCUUUGUGAUAUGGAACCUUGUAGUACAAUUUCAGAAAGAUCCAUACACUUACACACAAGUUAAUGUCAUGAAACUAGAAAAAUGCUUGUUUUUUGCCCCUUUUUUGGCCCCUAAUUCCUAAAAUUUUGAGGCAAUUACCCCCAAAAUCAAUCCCAGCAUUCCUUUUGUGAUAUGGAACCUUGCAGUACAAUUUCAGAGAGAUCCAUACACUAACACACAAGUUAUGUCUGGAAGUUACAAAAAUGCUUAUUUUUGGCCCCUUUUUGGCCCCUUAUUCCUUUACUGUUGGUACCAUAACCCCCAAAAUCAAUCCCAACCUUCCUUUUGUGGUAUUGAACCUUGUGGUAAAAUUUCAUAGAGAUCCAUUCACUUAAACUAAAGUUAGAGUGCGAAAACCAAUGUGUCUUCGGACGACGACGACGACGUCAUACCAAUAUA